GAUGAACGCUGGCGGCGUGCCUAAUACAUGCAAGUCGAGCGAACAGACGAGGAGCUUGCUCCUCUGACGUUAGCGGCGGACGGGUGAGUAACACGUGGAUAACCUACCUAUAAGACUGGGAUAACUUCGGGAAACCGGAGCUAAUACCGGAUAAUAUAUUGAACCGCAUGGUUCAAUAGUGAAAGACGGUUUUGCUGUCACUUAUAGAUGGAUCCGCGCUGCAUUAGCUAGUUGGUAAGGUAACGGCUUACCAAGGCAACGAUGCGUAGCCGACCUGAGAGGGUGGUCGGCCACACUGGAACUGAGACACGGUCCAGACUCCUACGGGAGGCAGCAGUAGGGAAUCUUCGGCAGUGGGAGGAAGCCUGGCGGAGCAACGCCGAGUGAGUGAUGAAGGUCUUCGGAUCGUAAAACUCUGUUAUUAGGGAAGAACAAAUGUGUAAGUAACUAUGCACGUAUUGACGGUACCUAAUCAGAAAGCCACGGCUAACUACGUG
rnacentral:rRNA from 1 species